rnacentral:lncRNA from 1 species
UAUCAAUCUACUCUUGCUGCAGGUUGACAGAAGUAGGAGUGAUUAUUAACAUAAACUGUAAUCACUAUGAGCCAUUUGAGACAAUGAUUAAAACUAUAAACAUACAUCUGUAACAUUUCUUUCUAAACUAUUCAAGCACUUCAAAGCCUGAAGCCUAUUACUGUUAUAUGGAGAAAAGUAUACGUACUAAAUAGUGAAAAACAUAGGAUCCUAUCUAGUGCCACAAAUGGAAGAAGCAAUACCCUCUUCUGGCUAUAAUGAGUUAUUUGGUGAAACACUGAAUAUAAAGAGGGAUACUAUAUUUGAAAUUAUCUUUGUAAACAGAGAAUUCUGACUCUGGAAGACCAUUCUAGAAGUCAUGUUCUGACUAAAUAGCAUGAGCUUGGUUUAUAGACCGAAGCAGGCCUUGAAUCUCCAUUUCAUGUUCCACCACUUGUUUGUUUCGAUCACUUAGAAGGUCCUGCAGCAUCCUUUCCUUUCGCUGUAGACGCUGGCACAGCUCCUCUGCUAUCUCACUCUGCCCUGGUCCAAGUUUGCAGAGCAAUGUUGCACUAAGAUCCUAAUGCAGAAAGGACACUGUAAGCUUCUGGAGGAAAGAAAUGCCUCUGCUAAAUAUCAAAGGGCUUAUAAGAAUCUAUCAUAGAAGAAGGAGGUGUGAGAUUCUUGAGAAUAAGUAUCACGUUUUACUCAUUUUUGUUUUACCAGAUCUAGCACAGGCCUGCUACACAGAAGUCUCUAAAUACAUGUCCCAGGAAUGAAUACAAACAAUACAGAAAACUAUCUCUGGUGGCCACUUACAUACAUAUUGUUUUCUGAAAUAAGUCUUUUUCCUAUUUGUUCACGGCAUGUAACAAUUAAUGUUAGAUGAGGAUAAAUGGACACUCAGUUCAUUUAUCUUUUAUCCAAUAUUAACUAAAUUACCAAGUAAUUUGCUAGUUAUUCAGGAUAAAAAAAAAAAACAAGAGUGAUCACUCUCCUCAAAAGUAACAAGUUUAGCAGAGAUAACAGACAUAUAAACUGUAAACUAUUCUGCAACAUACAACAGACACAACACAUAGAAUUAACUGUUCUGCAACAUACGCUAGCCACCAGGGGAACACAGGAUGCACUGCCUAACUCUGCCUGAAGGUGUCAGUAAAGACCUCACAGAGGAGGUAAUAUUUGCAGUGAGUCUUAAUUAAAGGACUAGGAUUUCCUAAGUGAAGAAGGGAGAGGAGGAUACGUUAGAGAAAAAAAAAUAUGCACACUAUGCAUACAAUGAAAAAAUUGUACAUUCAGUGAAAUGUAGUGGAUUCAAUGUGACUGAAG